rnacentral:rRNA from 1 species
GACAGCAGCCGCCGCGGGAACACGUAGGUGGCAAGCGUUGUCCGGAAUUAUUGGGCGUAAAGGGCUCGCAGGCGGUUUCUUAAGUCUGAUGUGAAAGCCCCCGGCUCAACCGGGGAGGGUCAUUGGAAACUGGGAAACUUGAGUCCAGAAGAGGAGAGUGGAAUUCCACGUGUAGCGGUGAAAUGCGUAGAGAUGUGGAGGAACACCAGUGGCGAAGGCGACUCUCUGGUCUGUAACUGACGCUGAGGAGCGAAAGCGUGGGGAGCGAACAGGAUUAGAUACCCGCGUAGUCCCUGUCUCUUAUAC